CCUACGGGCGGCAGCAGUGGGGAAUAUUGCACAAUGGGGGAAACCCUGAUGCAGCGACGCCGCGUGAGUGAAGAAGUAUUUCGGUAUGUAAAGCCCUAUCAGCAGGGAAGAAAAUGACGGUACCUGACUAAGAAGCACCGGCUAACUACGUGCCAGCAGCCGCGGUAAUACGUAGGGGGCAAGCGUUAUCCGGAUUUACUGGGUGUAAAGGGAGCGUAGACGGCGCGGCAAGUCUGAAGUGAAAGGCCGGGGCUUAACCCCUGAACUGCUUUGGAAACUGCCAUGCUAGAGUGCUGGAGAGGUAAGUGGAAUUCCUGGUGUAGCGGUGAAAUGCGUAGAUAUUGGGAGGAACACCAGUGGCGAAGGCGGCUUACUGGACAGUAACUGACGUUGAGGCUCGAAAGCGUGGGGAGCGAACAGGAUUAGAUACCCGGGUAGUC
rnacentral:rRNA from 1 species